AUGAAUUUGAUUAUUCAAGUUUUGGAGGACAUUUUAGGGGCAAGAUGUAAAAUAUUUGUGUCUUCUUGUUUACACUUGAGAAGUCAAAGAAUCGAUAGUUGGCUAAUUUUUUUCUCUCUGAAUGAUUUAAUUUCAGGAAAAGGAGAAGGAAUGGGAACGAAGAAGACAGUCAUCUCCUCCAGACCAAACGGAGUAGCAGAAACCCUGUCUUUCAGGACUCCUGGGAUACAGAGUAUUUGGAAGUUUCUCCAUUUGCAAAAAUGGUCAUACUGUGUGCUUCUCAGGCUGGAAGAGUCAAUUUGUGAACUGCUUCCCUGGAUUAAAUGUUAUAUCUGGAGAAACUUUAGCACCAACAAUCCCUUUGUGUAUUUUUUCUCCUUCCCCUUCUCUCUCCCCAGUCCUUCCCUCCUUUCAGCAAUAUUCAGUAUUUUCCUAGUAUCCUUUAUGCUCUGAAGUCUUCGACGAGUCAAACUGGUUUGAGCUGAGCAGUGUUAAUAGCUUAAAGAGUGCUUUUAUAGGGGGUAAAUUGAGUCUUUCCCACCUGUGGCAGUUAAAUCGCCUCUUAUGCUUUGUUCCCAGGAAUAGGGAGCAAUCUGUCCACAAAACUGCUGCCCUAACUUUCUUUUAAGGAGUCUUUAAAGUAUCUUUGAGUAUGGCAUGCUCUUGGCUGGCUGGAUACCAGCCUCAGUUUCUCACUGGAAAAACAAGAAGAAACUGAGGCCAGAGCUGCCUUGGGAGAACUCAGGUUUACUUUAACUUACACCAGUUUUUUCCAAACCACUUUGGCCAUGCAAAGCUUUUGUACCUGAAAUAUAUUGACAGACAGUUGUUUUUGUAUAACUUUGUCUUUCUUUCAAGAAAGCAUUUAAUUCUUGAGGACUGGUUGCACAACUCUAUAUAAUAUGUCCAAAAAUAACUGGCAUAAGAACAAAAGAUAACUGAUAAGACUUAUCUUAACAAGAAAUAAAUUGACGGAACGUACAGGUGUUGAUCCA
rnacentral:lncRNA from 1 species